GUCUGAAGGACAUGACACUUUUAUGUUGAUUAAGCUGAACUGGAAGUCAGUGGAUGAAGAAUCGUAGCAAAUCUUUAUACUUCAGAAAUGGACAAAAAUGCCUCUAGGUUAUUUCCAGCUUCAGUUUCUAGCUCCAUGGUUACAGCAACAUGAAUCAUCUCAUCAGACCUGUUCAUUAAAGUGCAGCACCCCAUAACCCAUGAGACUGCAUCUUGUCUAAGUGCAUCUUCAGGUAAAUCCAUAAGAGAAGAUAUGAUUUCUUCAUGUUUUGAAAAGCUGCAUUCACCUUUAAUUGAUGGCAAGGUGUAAACAGCAAACAGUGGCUUGGUUUUUCCUGGUGGCAGAGGGAAAGCAUUGUCUUAGUUCAUGAUAUGGGUGAUGGGAAUUAAAUACCUUCUUUUAUGAAAGCAUCCUUUCUAAACUGAUAAGGAUCUCCUGAUGAGACAAGACAAAGACACAUACUGAGGAGAAACUGCUGGGAGAAGCUAAAUUGAAAUAGAGAUAUUUUAUGAGGAGAAGAAAAAGAAGAGCCAGAUAAAAGAGAAUAUAUGGAAGAAAGAUGAGAAAAAUCCCAGAAGCACUCUCGUGUUUUCAGAAGAGGGUUAAGAGACAAUGUUUGUGUUAUAAAAAUCACUCUUGUUGGAGAAGAGAGAAUGGAUUUGAGAUGGAAGAGGCUUUGUGGUAUUAUGUUCUGGCAGAAGAUGAUGUCACUCUGAAGUACAUCACUAACACAUUGACAUUGGAAAUGGAUUUGAGAGACACCAGGAGGGCCUCGAUCACCUCAGUUCUACAAGCUAAGGUAGCACAUAUUGGAAAAAGUCUGCUCUGGACACUUUGGGGAAUCCUAUCCUAUUCAAUCUUUAAAAGGUCUACAACUGGGGAGCUGUAUUUGUCAAGCUUCUCCUCCCUCGGAUUUCUCUUUUUCUCCUUUUCUUGCUGCAACUGUGGAAGGAAGUCAAUAUGUGCACUCUGGAGCUAGGAGUUGGUGUCAUGCUGCAACCCUGUGACA